rnacentral:rRNA from 1 species
GUUAGGAAUAUUGGACAAUGGGCGCAAGCCUGAACCAGCCAUGCCGCGUGCAGGAAGACGGUCCUAUGGAUUGUAAACUGCUUUUAUUUGGGAAUAAACUCCGGUACGUGUACCGGCCUGAAGGUACCAAAUGAAUAAGCACCGGCUAACUCCGUGCCAGCAGCCGCGGUAAUACGGAGGGUGCAAGCGUUAUCCGGAAUCAUUGGGUUUAAAGGGUCCGCAGGCGGUCUUAUAAGUCAGUGGUGAAAGCCUACAGCUCAACUGUAGAACUGCCAUUGAUACUGUAGGACUUGAAUUCGAUCGAAGUGGGCGGAAUGUGACAUGUAGCGGUGAAAUGCUUAGAUAUGUCACAGAACACCGAUAGCGAAGGCAGCUCACUAGGUCUGGAUUGACGCUCAGGGACGAAAGCGUGGGGAGCAAACAGGAUUAGAAACCCUGGUAGUCC